GACAGCAUAAUGGUUAUGCAAACAGACUCUCAUGCCUGAGGCUCCUAAGUCCCAGGUUCAGUCCCCCACACCACCAUAAGUUAGAGCUGAGCAUGCUUUGGUUUAAAAAAAAAAAUGUAGUCAGGUGCAGAGGAUGAGCUAGAAGGGAGCUCUGGAGAGUUUUAAGAAAGGAAGAGUUCCACCAUGAAUAGGAAAACCCAUGGGCAAAGAUCAGAGAAUGAUUUCUCAUUUCUGAGGAGGUGGGAGAAGAAAGCAACUUGAAUCUCUCUUUCUGAUAUGCUUCAGGUCUGGGUUCUCAUGGUGGUGAGAAGAAAUCUACUCUUGGACUUGGUAUCCCAAGUGCCACUUUGGAAACAAAGACCUAGAAAGGAGAGACACAUGGCCAAUCACAGAUCUCAGCUGUACCUGCUUCUGUGAAUAAAACUUGUUUUAAACACUGCUGUGCUCAGAAUGGUCCCAAGGGAAUAAUGAAACAGCAGACUGAAGCUAGAAGAGGCUAGAUCUUGUCUGGUGUGUCUGCACAGGGGCCUGCACCAUGUUGGAGCCAUGUGUCCUUCUUGCCACCAUCCUGACUUCCCACAAAAAAGCUAGGGUGCAGGCCCAGCCAUAUGUUUUGAAUAGAAUAGAACAGAGAGAGGUAAUGAGAUGAAGAUGUUCCAAGCAAAUAUUCUGGAAUCACAUCUGUUUUGCCCCCAAACUAGAAAAAAAAAAAAAAAAAGACAGGAAAAGGCCACAAUUAAGACUUAAAUCAUUCCCAAUGUAGGAUCUGGAAAUCUGUGGUCCUAAAUUGAAAGUAUAGACCUGCAAUUUACCAGGUCAGUGUAUUCAUCACUGAUUCUGACCUCUGGCAGUAAUCAGGUAAAUCCCUAAAUGUUCCUGGAAGUUGUCAUAUAGAUCUAUGCUGUCAUAUAGUUCUGGGUUAAACAUCAACAUUAUUCUAGAAGCAGGUGGAUGACUUUUUCACUCGGCAAAUGUCUCAAUGCUGAAUUGAAAGGGAAAACUUUUAUUAUUAAAUUUGGUGGUUUUAAUAUUUUUUUACUGCCACUAGCAUUAUUUGAGGGGACUUGGUACUUUCUUGAUGAAUCCACCACUCUUGGCAGCAACUUUUUUUGUUGUUGUUUUUGAUAGAGAUAGGGAGAAGUUGAGAUGGAAAGGGGAGACAUAGAGGGAGAGAGGAAAGGAGACACCUGCAGCACUGCAUUACCACUCUUAAAGCUUCCUUUAUGCAAGUGGGGACUGGGAGCUUGAACCUGAGUCAUUGCACAUGGUAACAGGUGUAGUCUACCAGGUGUCCCACUACCUGGACUCUGAUGGGUGAGUUCUUACAUAAUCCUUCCCAAACCCAGACAACUGACAUUGAUACAGUGUGAUUCAUUUAACCACAGACCUUCCCCUAGUUUCACCAGCUUUCUACUUGUACUCAUUCAGUUGCUGGCAUGUGGCCCUGCUUGGAUGCAGUGGGAAAGACACUAUCUAGAUCUGCACAAUUCUAAAGCAAUUGUAAGAAAUGAGUGAAUUCCUUGACCACCUAGAUAGGCUCCCCAUUUCUGACCUACUUCAGUUGUUCAACAUUUGGAACAAUUCCAAAACAACCUAGAAGGAUCAAGCAACAUGAAAGGCAAAUAGACCUUCCCAGAGUUUGCUGGCUAGAAAACUGACCAUAGGAGAAAAUUCUAGUUGGUUCUUACAGGUGAAUAGCAAUUAUGAUGGUGAUAAAGAACAUCAUUGAGAAUAAGUCAUGUGGUCCAGGAGAUGGUGCAAUGGAUAAAGCACUGGACUCUCAAGCAUGAGGUCCUGAGUUUAAUCCCCAGCAGCACAUGUAUCAAAGUGAUGUCUGUUUCUUUCUGUCUCCCCUCCUAUAUUCUCAAUAAUGAAUAAAAUCUUUAAAGAGAGAGAGAGAAUGAGAAUAAGUCAUUAUUUGGAAGCAGAACUAGGUUGCAUUUCACACAGGAACUUGUGCAAAGAGUAGAGUGCAAUGGCAAAGUUCCUGAACAUGUGGCAGAUCACUCUUUUCAUAGAAGUAGAUAACUUGUAUUUUCCUAAAUAUCUGCUCUUAAAAGGGCUAACAACCACAAGACCAAACAAAAUGCAAACACAAAUUUAUUUUUGUGUGACAUGACAGUUUUGUGAUAGCAUUUGAAAGAUGCCCUCUACGAGACCACAAAAUGUUGACCACAGGUCCUGUAGCAUGUCUUGAUAAAUAUUUGUUGAAUGUUGUUUUGGGGUGAAGAAAAGAUAAAAUGAGAUGAUUGUUACCUAGGCAAUUUUUGGAAGAGAAAGAAUCAAGGGAAAAUGAAUUUGCUGUAGAGUAGAGGCUUUAUCUUUCAAAUGAAAAAUGAGGGGAGGAACAGGAAAGUGUACCUGAGAAAUUCAUAUUCCAUGUGUGUUUUCUUUCUGAUGGUAGAAUUUAUCUACGUAAAUAUCUUAGUAAGUGUCUCUGAGAUUCUCAGACAACCAUGCAAGGAGGAGCAAGGACCAGACUCUGACCCCAAGCCCAGCCCAUUCCAACCCAGUUUUCAGCUACCUGUUAGUGACUUCUUGGGCCUCCCAAGACAAAGGAGCUAGCAAGAAGGAGAGCUUAGCCACACUCACAAUGGCACAAAGAGGAAGUAUGUACAGUGACUCUGGAGAGACCACUGUGGGAUAAGAAGCCUCUGAAAAAAAUAGGCUUAAAAAACCUUGAAAAUUUGGAGGAUUUCCUGUAAACACACGGAGAGAUCAUGAUAUAGCCUACCCAAUGUAAGCUGUUCACUAUUUACAGUGUCUGAUUAUGUUCUGUUGCUUGGUAGCUUUUCCCCAGAACUGAGCAUCUGAAGCAAUAUGGCGCUGGCUUCCUCCAGGAGGAAACAUUCAGGCCUUGUUUGUUCUGCAGGCUCUGCAGGGCAACAUGUCUCAUCAAAGGGUCAGUAGGCAGCCUGACUUAAUUUCUGCUUACCUGUCAUAGGAUAUGUACAAGUUCCCUGCAUUAGAAAAAGAAAAAAAUACCAAUUGUAUAUUUUCUUGCCUUUAUUUAUUCUCUGUAUGUCAGAUGAGAAUUGUAAAUAAUAACAAUUAAAGAAACAUGCUGCUGA